CGGACGGCGGAGAGGGUACGGCUUCACGAUCGAAGGUUAAGCACCUCCCUCGUCGCUUUCCCACGACGUCGCCCUCCUCUCGUGGAAGAGAACGCCUCUCCGAUCAAGGUCGCAGUUGCGGUCCCCAAAUACGCAGCAAAAUUGAUACGAUCUGGUCCCUAGGUUUUAGGACUUGGAUUCACCAUCAAUAUAUAAGAGGUUUCGAGCAUUAGCAGAUCAGCUUUUCCACAAUCCUGAUUAUCAUAAGCAUCUUAAACAUUUGAAGAAACAUUAUGAAGGCUGUGUUCCCAUGGAGUCCAAGAAGUACCUGAAAAUAAUGAAAAGGUUUUGGCUUCUUAAUCGUGUCUUUCUCUUUAAUUUGUAAUCUAAAAGUUCAUCAUUGUUACUAACCUUAAAUCUUUUCUUUUUGGAGAAUGGGAAGAUCACUUGACCCUACAAACAGUUGCAGACCGAGUAAUUUUGAAUCGAACUGUUCAUUCUCUGCUUCCUGAUUUAGAACAGGCUUAUAGGCAUUUAGUCUGCCCAAUAGCUGAUGUGCCAGAUUUUUUUUUGUGCAAUUAUUGUAUGUGUAUAUGUAUAUUCUUCUUCUAAACUAUGCUUGUAGUAUGAAGUGCAUCAAAGUUCUUCUCCCUCGAGGGUUGUGAUAUAGAAAUGGCCUCAGGAUA